rnacentral:rRNA from 1 species
AUUGAACGCUGGCGGCAUGCUUUACACAUGCAAGUCGAACGGCAGCGCGGGCUUCGGCCUGGCGGCGAGUGGCGAACGGGUGAGUAAUACAUCGGAACGUGCCCAGUAGUGGGGGAUAGCUCGGCGAAAGCCGGAUUAAUACCGCAUACGACCUGAGGGUGAAAGCGGGGGAUCUUCGGACCUCGCGCUAUUGGAGCGGCCGAUGGCAGAUUAGCUAGUUGGUGGGGUAAAGGCCUACCAAGGCGACGAUCUGUAGCUGGUCUGAGAGGACGACCAGCCACACUGGGACUGAGACACGGCCCAGACUCCUACGGGAGGCAGCAGUGGGGAAUUUUGGACAAUGGGCGAAAGCCUGAUCCAGCAAUGCCGCGUGUGUGAUGAAGGCCUUCGGGUUGUAAAGCACUUUUGGCGGGAACGAAAAGGACUGUGCCAAUACCACGGUUCGAUGACGGUUCCCGCAGAAUAAGCACCGGCUAACUACGUG